UACGUAGGGUGCAAGCGUUGUCCGGAAUUAUUGGGCGUAAAGAGCUCGUAGGCGGUUUGUCGCGUCUGCUGUGAAAACUCGGGGCUUAACCCCGGGCCUGCAGUGGGUACGGGCAGACUAGAGUGCGGUAGGGGAGACUGGAAUUCCUGGUGUAGCGGUGAAAUGCGCAGAUAUCAGGAGGAACACCGGUGGCGAAGGCGGGUCUCUGGGACGUAACUGACGCUGAGGAGCGAAAGCGUGGGGAGCGAACAGG
rnacentral:rRNA from 1 species